GCCACAACAUUGUUUGCCUGUAUCAUGUGUAGUUUAAUCAUGAUUGUGGCCUAGGUUGAUUAUAUACAAACUGAGGGACUAGUAUUUAAAUGUAACUUCAUAUUGUAUUUGAAGAGAGAACCACUAAAUAUUAUUUGAAACUGCAAAUUUAGCAAAAGUAGACUAUAUAUCCUUAUGAAAUUGACAAUGUGAACUGUUCCAGUACAUAGGCCAUUAAAAGUAUUUAUUGGUGGGUUUAUUUCAAUGGAGAUGAGAUAAUAGUAUAAUGGUACAGUUAUACAUGAUGACUGGAGAAUUCAUCUUUCCACAUUAGCCUGAUAGGGUGUCUCUCUGCUCAAGAGGUGAAAACCCUUUCAGAGUGGCAGCGUAUUAGUGGUUAUCACAUUAAAACAUAAUCUAGGGAUGUAUAACAAUUAAAAAAUAGCAACUAGAAUUUGCCCACCCAGAUGGUACCGAUAUGUGAAAUUCCAUGAACUAAUUGUCAGUAUAAGAUAUUUAGUUUGAAUAUUGAACACAGAAGAGACACUACACUAUGGACAAUUUCUCCUAAUCAUCCUGCCUUCCCCCUCCACCAGAGCGUGUUGUGUGUGCUUUAAGACUGUUGCAUAAAAUACGCAGAAUAAACCAACACCCUACCCAUCACUCCGGCAUUCUAUCGAGUCCUUCGCUAAAUCAUGCGACCACAACUAACUUCAGAGUUCUUUUAUAUUAUAGCAUACCAGUGGGGUUUUCCACAUGAAAUCCAUAAAAAUGCAAUCUUUCAUCAUAUUUUGACAUUUUACCAAGAUGAUAAAUUUGCUGUGAAUGGUUGGGACAGAAGUUAUGUAAACCUGAUAGGCUACUACAAAAGAAGUUUGCACUAAAUGAAAUGUAUCUGUGUCGGGUUUAGGAGUGCUGCAAGUCAUAUACUUUGAGGAAUGACAGAUCAAAUGAUAUGCUAAAGUUGAAGCAGGAGAAAUAGGCUAUUAGUCCAUGGGCCCGAACCUGAAAUUUCACAUAUCGGUGUGUGUGUGUGUGUGUGUGUGUGUGUAUGAGGGAUCUAUACUAGAGUAGAAAGAGAUUAAAAAUGGAGACAUCAUAAAAAAGAGAUGAGUUGAGAUGAGUCUUCGGGAGAUCCUUGAAGAUAGAGGGACACCCUUGCAUUUGGUAGCUCGUUCCACCAUCUGGGGAGCACCAAAUGAGAACAGUCUGUAUGCAUAUAGUGCCUUUAAAAUGUCCUCAUCCUUAGUUAACAGCUGGGCUUUGUUACCCUUAUGUUUCUUUGCUAAGACUGGCAACGCUAGUGGGAAAUCCACACGGGACUGAUACACAUUGUAUAAUUUGCUAGAGCAAACCUUCCAUGAAUGUUGAUUGUAAAAACACAGUCAGUGAAGCGAGAGAAUAGAUUCCAAUCCAUUGGAUACCAAUUGCAGUUUGCUGCUUGCUUUGAAUGAAAUGACCCGUCAAACACAGAAAAACACAAAUAAUAAUAUUUUUGAAAGACCAAUACCAACCAAUUUCAAAAGGAUUUGUAUAGCUCACACUGAAUCACAGAACACAUGAUACAUUAUGACACCUACAGCCACCACGACUACACAAGUUGUCACGGCCAGUGACAGGGUCAAAGUUCAACAUAUUUUAACUUGGACAUGUCAGACCAAUUGUUCAGCGAAUGUCUCUGGUUCCGUCAAAACCAGCAACAUGUCAGACUGCCGACAAUAAACACACCGUGAUUGUUUUUAAUGCUAGAAUACCCACUGUUUAAAGGCCUAUAGUGCUUGUCCAGGUUGUACAAUCGCUAAUAGCCAUCUUAGGCUAUCUGCAUGAAGCGAUUAAAUUAGACGCGUGUACAGGGCUCUACGCUAAUAUUUUCCCCAGUGUAGCAGCAAUUUUUUAUUGACUACCACUGGUGGCUGAGAUGGAUUUAGUUCUGACGCGUGUAAAGAUGAGAAGUAGAGGUGAGUCCAGUUGGUCCCUUUGACCGUUUAUUGUAGAAUGGUGGAUAACAAGUUGUUGGAAAUAAAAUAAAAGAUAUUAAACUAGAGUCUUUCGUAAAGCACAUGGUUCCUUUGCAAACGUCCUGGCACACGAUAAAAAAAAAAAAACUGUUGCCUUCCUCAGCCACGCCCAGAUGCUCUGGCUGCUGGAUUUUGAGGCCUUUCCCCCUUGGGCUCCACCUUCAGCCUCUCAGGUAAAGUUCAGGUGUCCUCUAGAUGGGGGUAAAAACACCUACGGCCAUAGUGUCACUCAUCCAUACUCACACACACACACUUGCACAUACUAAGAGAGAUAACAUAAGAAUCAACAUAAAGGUUAAUUUGGCUCCUACACCCAGUGUACAUGUGCUCCUAAAUAGAAAAAAUUAGGAGCACAAAGAAAUUUAAGAGCACAGUGUUUUCUUUUAUUGUAUUCGUUUAUUAAACAAAUUAACAAAUUUCAUGCAUAUACGGCACAUGCAAAAUCACACAUUGGCCUAGAUGCAAAGGAUAUCGGUUGUCCAGCUGCUUUUAUAUGUUGGCCGUCUGGAACGCUUAGAGGUCAGCCAGCGGUUCACAGCAGGAGUAGGAUCGAACUCCGACAGAAGGCCCUUCCAGGCUGAUCCUCAUCAGGUCUUUGGUGGUCAAGUUACCUGGUAAAUUGAUCAAAUUACUGCAUUUUUUCAUAUGUCAACACAUUAGAGGACCUCUUAUCAAUUGUUUAGUAGUAUUUUAUAUAGCCUGCUUAACUUAAAGUUUAAUGUAAAAUUCUAAAUGCAGUUAGUUAUACUGUAGGUCUAGUAUCUAACAUAAGCAACACUUUUACUGUAGCUAGCUAGAGAGCACGUGUAUCAUAACCAGAAGUCCGUUGGUUUAUAGUCUGUCAAAUUAGUUCUAAGAUAUUGGUGUUCGUUGGCAUACAAAGUUAGUCUUCUCUUAUUAGCCUAAUUAGUACCACUGAUUAGAGCUAGCAACAAUUGCAGAUUAAGGGGUCCCCUAUCGUCCAGCUAGCUCUCCACGCUCAGCAGGAAUUUUAGGUCCACUCACUAAAAACAAACUUGACCCUCUCACUGGAAACAUUGUAUAAUAAAAUGUUUUAUUAUGCAAUUGGUUGCCUUGUAUAUUCUGGUUUAUUUACCAAACUCCUUGUCUUAAUUUGAGCAGUUGCUGGUGUGAGCUACAGUAUAGUAGCUAGCAUAGCCAUUUCUAGCUCUGCUUCACAAUAUUGCUGCCUAGUGUUUUUAGUGAAUGUAAUACAUAAAUGUUAAUAAAGUAUCAGACAUUUACAUGAUACAACACACCAGUAAUCAAUUGAUAUUAUGUGUUAAUAAGUUAAGCGCGUCAUCAUGCCAUGUUCACAUCGUGCAGUCGCGACCCCGUCACUUGCUUUCCAUGUGAAAUCAAUGGUAUGCUUCACUUCAUCGCGCUGUUGUUCCGUGUAUUGACAACAGCCCAUCACUCGCGCACUGUGCUCGUAAAUUAUUUUUCAAGUCCGCACAUACCUAUUUUUAGGCACAAAUGCGAGUGAAAUACUCGCACUGUAGAGCCCUGGCGUAUUCUGUAUGAAGUGUACAAUCUGAUUGCACCUCAGUUUUAAUUCCCUACACUACACACUAAUCGAUAAUGCACUAAUCAGCAGGCGGGAAAGCAAAGACACCGCAGGGAAUUGAACCCCAUCCUGAAGAUCAGGAGUGCCACCACCGGAGUCUUUUGCUUUUUUUGUUAACCAGGAUUAAAAAGCAAAACCUGGAGGAACAACACAAUGUUGUUCCUCCAGGAAAAGAAAAACCUGGCACCUGCUGCGCAACUCGUCUUGGCUCCCUGAGUGGCCUGAAACUACAAACAGAAAACUGCAGGUUUCCCCAUCCCCCAGCGAAUCCCAAGAACUUUGUUUGCUUCUCAAUUAAAUUGUUUUGCUCAAGUAGUUUACAAAAGACCUUUCAAAUCUGAAAUGGAUAGCAUUGCCUGCUCAGCGAAGCUUCGGUCAACACUCAAGUGAGACGUACGUUGACUUUAGCUUGGAAAGCUGCAAAGACAAGAGAAAGGAUAGUUUACAGCCCCCAACCCCCCUCCCCCCACAAUCUCAUCGGAAAACCCCUUUUUAUAUACAUGUAUUAAGAAAAGCAAAACAGACACAUUACUGUAGCAAGCUAUGGUUGUAUAGUACAAACCAAGCAACGGCAACACAAUCUUCAAACUGCUGAUGCUCACAGAAGACAAUUGUUUGAACUGCUGCUUAGAUACAGACGCGCAUCCACUCACACAUCCAGUCUGAUCAGUUGCAAGCGGGGUCAGUUGUGCUUUUUUGAGGGAUCGAAACACUAUCUGCAAAGAAGACAGUUUGGUUUGCGCCCCACCCCACCCCAAAUACAAACCCAAGAAAACCCACCCUAUAGCAUGUGGUAUAUAGAAUGAAAUGACUUAACAUUAAGCUGUUAAAAUUAUUUCUCCAUCAGGGUUAUGCAAAGCCGAGGUUCAUGCAAUACAUGAAGUUAAAAUUGCAACAAGUACCCGUGAAAAUUAAGAUUAAAAGGACCUCACUUGAUACACCAAGAAACAGCAAUCUGAGGUUCAUUUAGCAGUGAGACAAGCGUGUAGCUCUUGAUUGGACAGGAAAGGAUUUCCCAGUGCUUCAUCACACGGUUAGGGCGUUCCCAGACACACACAUGAGAAAUGUGGGGCUCCUAUUGGAAUUUUGGCCUAAGAAACGAAGGAGUGGGAAACAGGAUAGACACACAGCACGCAGAGAAGGACUUCGGGAUGAAGGACUUCGAAGGUCAGGACUAAGCUCAAGCGCACACAGGGUCGGUCAUCAGUCAGUGAGGACUCAUUCAUUUGCCGACAGCUCCCAGACAGCCUUUCAUUCAGGUGCAGUUGCAAAUGGAGUGGACAGAUGAGUGAUCUGAAAUAAGAAGCUACUACACACAUUCCCACCACAAACACAUAGAACAAAACACCAACAUUUGCAGGAACUAACUCAGAGUUAAAUGUGCUCUCAGGGUUAUGAGCAAUGGGGAUGCUUAUAGGCACUGUUCAAAGACGAAUGUUAUGAAAUGUAGAAUAAAAGAAGCAGUUUGUAGUGUUUCCAUUGAACCAGACUGACAUUCCAGGAACAUUUCUUAUGAAAUGACAAAACACCUGGUUUCAAUGUGCUCCACAAGGGGACUUCACACCACUCAUACGCGCAGCAGCAUGGGUUUGCGUUAUCUGCAAAAGUGAAAAGAAAGAGUGCAAAAGACCCUCUACCCCCCCCUACCUGACAUUUGGCUAAAAAGCUAUGUAGUCAACAUUCAAGUUUAAGAACAAUGACCAAACCAAUUAAAGCUGCACAGUUGCACAGCUUUUCAGUCACAUCAACUUUGGGUAUCACACAGUUGCGUGACUCAAUACAUGCUAUGCAUUUGCAAAGCAUUAGUCAUUUUAGCUACGCUCCUGCACAGUUGCACAGGUGCUUGUGACUGAGGCUACGUCUACCAAAUGACAAUUUGGAUAAAUGACUGUACUUAACACGAUCUAUCAAAAGAGCACAAACUGUGCGGUUCCAUCAAGAGGAGUUCAAAGGACUGGUUGCUCCUGUCGUCAACACACACCCGAGCGAUGGCAAUCUUCACUGUGGCACUGUACGACUCUGCAAGAUCAAAAAGAGACACCCCUAGCCCCACCCAGACCAAGACAACAAUAAUACCUCAAAAAGGGUCUCCAUGGGUUUCCCUCUCAAAUCUUUAGAUUUGAGUCCCAUUAUGCUUUAUACGGGACAUUCAAGAGAUCCAUUCUACAAAUCAACAUGGUUAAAAUGUCUUUACUAUAUUAAGUGUCCAAUAACCCUUCAAAAAAUUGUUAUCAAGAUAAGUUGAUCUUCAUUUUUUUGUUUAGCAAAGACUAGCUGGGUACAUGAACUUCCCACGAAACAUGAACCAUCAUGACUUAUCUGCCUUCAAUUCCACUCGGAAAGAACGCCAUCAAGCCCUGGUCUUGUGCUUAAAAAGCUCCCAAGUUUACAACACCUGAAAAAGUACAAGAGAAUCCCCCAUAGGCCCCAAACACCCCAAGAAACAAAUGCAUACCAGAACGUAUUCCAUCACAACGUACUAUGUAUUUAUUUACCAAAUAUUCUUUACAGAUAACUUAUUAUACAUUCUUACAAUGCAUGAAAAGCCAACUGGCAAAGUAACCCUUUACAGGAUUUUUUUUUUUUUACAACACGCAAGUAAUUAAACAAGAUAAGCAGCGGUUAACAAGCUUACGUGAUCCGAGACUGAAGUUUGAUGGAAUAAGCAAACCGUUACAUUUUAAGAGCUAGACCUCCUGUAGGGCUGGAGUAUGCAAGCACUGGUACACUGAAAAAUGCAAAGGGGGAGAAAGACACCUUGCACCAUCCCACCCCAGAUUAUGCAAUAUAACCCCACAACACAAUUUAUUCAUUACAGCAACUACAAGUCAAGGAAGUUUCAUAAGGCACUCAAAUACAUACAUUAAGUAGAUCAAGCACAUAAUUUAUGAAAAGCACUAACAGAUUACUUGCCAUACCAACAAGGUUACAACGCCUUGAGCCUGUACGCAUCAGUUGUGCUCCGUGGUAGGCAAUGGAGGGACCACCAGAUCUUAGUGAGGGCGGGUAGUUUUAAAUACAUCUGAAAAAGUCAAAAUCAAGUAGUUCCCAGGCCCCCCACACCCCAUUGUUUUUUUUUGGCCACAAACACCGGUCAGCAACAAGAAUACUAUUGGAUAAAUUGAACAAAGCCACCUCACAGGUUGAAAUCUCAAAUCGCUUUACGUUUUCAGAUUUUGAUCUUGUGCCUCGUGUUACCCCAGUCACGGCGAAGAGCUGGUGUCAUGACGGACUUGCUAUAGCUCGAAGUGUGGCUGAAAGGCAUACUGGUGGUUCCGCUCCCAAACACGACUACUCACGCCAUUUCUUUUGAAAACCCGCUUUUACAAUAGAGCUGUGAAGUCUAAGGAAGACAUUUGGAUUAACAUCCCACAUCCCACCCUCCCACAGCAAGAUGACAUGGUUCCCCAAUAAACAGAUACAAUUAUUCAGAUUUUCAUGGAGUAAGAUCCAAAUCUCUAGAAGACCUUUGCAAAUACCUUCCUACAUUCGAACAGUGCUGCUGUUUCAGGCACAUCCUGAUCCUUUGGGUCAAAGAGUACUGGUGUGCAAGCUAGUGUGUGGAUUCUUGCUACUGUGGGAACUUGCGCUGGGUGUGGUCGCCCAAGCCAGUUGAGCCUGUAGGGAAAAGAACUCGAAAAACGCGUUUUCCCCUCCCAAACCCCUACAGACCACCUUUGACUCAACAUGUGCAAUACUCAAAUGUGACCGCUACAGUAUGACCUCACUUCGAAUUUUACUCAAUAUAUAUGUUUAAAAAAAUCCAAGAUUGAAACUAUGAGCAAUAAAAAGGGAAUAGUUACUCCCUUUAUUGUAAACUCAUGCAAACUCAAAGCUCAUGUUUACCAGAUUAGGAAGCUGCCUCAGUGUAAAUGUAGAUGGACAGAUGAAGUGGGAGAUAGAAGUCAAAGACGAUUGGACGAACUUCCACUGCUCACGAUCUCCGGAGAUGGUGCCUUCUAAGACAACCUACUGAAUUUCAAAAGGGACAAAGACGCCUUUUCCAGUGGAGGGACUACGCCAAAACGCUGCCAGGUUGCGGAUGUUGAGGGACAGUCGUUUUCCCAGCACACAAACCACAGCACUCAUCUCAGUUGAAACCACUCAGCCAACAAGGGGACAGGCGACACGGGGGAAUAUCAACGCGUUAAACACCACGCCUGAAAGAAGAAAACACAGGGCUUUGCGAGUAAAUUGUCGUCAAAUUUCACAAAAUGGCUACUAUUUAUUUGAGGAGCGAUACCUCUACCCGAACAUACAAACCCAACACCUUCCUCCUAUGACUUGUGAAGCUAGCGGGGGACCCUUUUUAGCUCUGCUUGUACGCCCUUCUCCCUGCCACUGAAGUCGCUGGGGACCCAUCUUUGGUUCACUCUGGCCUGCUGCCCCACUGGACCAUCUGCACGAGGGUGACUACUCUGCCUUGCGACACUCGAUUCCCCCAGGUUGUGGACACUUCCUCCUCCUCCUCGCUUGGAUCUGUGCCUGCCUGGUUUCCUCCCUCUGCUCCUCCCUGGCUCCCCCUCAGGCUCUGCCUUGCUCUCCCUCUGCUCCCGCCCGGUGGUCCUCUGGCUCCCUUUGGUCGUCCCCGGUCCUGACAUCUGAUCCUGAAAUUCUUCUAGAUCAACGCUCACCACUAACUAAGUCCAUAUGGAGAGUAAUGUUGGUCUAAUGAACUCAGUCCUUUCUCUCCAGAAACAGCAAAUAACAUCUGCAGGGCAAAUCUUCAGCUACCGCCAAAAUGUAUAAACAAAAUAAAAACCAAUGGAUAAAAACAAAAAUUAAAAAUAAUUGCUAGCACCGCUUUAUGUUGCAUGUCGUUAAACUCGAAAAAGUCCAUAGGCCACCACUUGAUGGUGCCAUUCAGUGCUGAGUAUGUAUAGCUUGUUAACCGUCUCCCGAAAAAAAAAAAAAAAACGUUUUAAAAAAACCAUAACAAAUUGAUUGCUCUGAAUUUCAACAGCCUCUUCUGCAAGUUCUACUGCCUCAGACUACACAAUUGCUUAGUGACUGCACCACUUUUUCCUUACAAAGACGCGCCGCCAUUUUGACUGACUCACGCAGCUGUCUCGAACAUUCCAGUACUAUUCCUUCACUUCAGUGAGGCAACAUACCCAUACCAAAUAUGGAAAUUAACGUUACCAAUUUGUUAGGUAGCUAGUGUCCCUUAUCGAACACAGAUCAUUGCUUUCGUGUACACAGAAAUUCUGUUACUCGUCAUAAUACAACUUGACCCUUUUAGUCCUAACGUUUGCGAACUCAUGAAUCGGAUGACAAGCGAAUGUGUUCACGUCACACUGCUGCCUUCGUUUAAAAUAACGAUACAAUCAACCGUUAAUAAGUAAUGUAUAACCGCCUGGCCCUUGAUCGCCGACAUAGCUGACGUAAGGGUUAGUUAAGCGAGCUAAUGAUAGUUCAGGCUCGUCUUUGGUUAGGCCUCGCUGACGAUGCUAACGUUAAUUAUAACUAACUGGGUUGCUAGCAAGUAUACGUUAGCUGACUUAGAUAAGGUUACCUAACAUAGCUUGUUAUACGUUAGUUACUAAUCGUAACCUGAAAACACCAAAUUCCUUCAUACAUCUAACACGUUAUGAUUCUGACAAGUAACGUUCGUUUUUGACAGAAUAUUAUCCUCGCUACCAUCAAAAUAAUGCUAACGUUAUAACACUGAUAUUAGUUAGGUUAGAGAUAGCAUCUUAGCUAGCUGCCGUUAAACUGACAGGCUUCGCUUUUAGCUUAACAAUUAAUUGCUUAAAACAACUAAAAUAGUUUGAAAGAAACAAAUUACUCUUCACUAUUUAAAGAACUGCUGUCUCCUAUCGAUUGUGAAAAGAAAAAAAACUACUGCAUUGAACAAUACCACACGCCUCGACGAGUCAAUCUGCUGCACCCAGUUGUCUUAUGCAGUAAAAGCGAACGGUUUAUAUAGUAAACGCUCGAGCAGCUAACGUCACCCCUGUAUGCUUACGCUUGAAAAAGUAGUCCUGUUGUCUGGCAAACGAGGUGACGAUGUCACUGAUUUUAUCAAGAAGGUUCUUUCUCUGAUAUACAUAUUGCAGGGGUUGAUAAAAAACGACGGCGUCGUGGCAAUAUUACCGUUUUUGUAUUAUUAUUUUCUUUUCUAUGUCGAUUGUGAAUGAAUAUAAUAAAUGGACAACAGAGGUAACUGGGUUCGAUGUGAACAACAUAUUCUAGAGUGCUCUAUGAUCUUUGAAACUCGACAUUUGCCACCAGUGUAACUAAUUAAAUAUACUGCCCAAGACACGAGACAUUAUCAUUUUCUCUUUCUUCACUUGAAACACGUCUAAGGUAUAAAUCAGAGUAAUAACUGUGAUUUGAGGGCUCACAAUUAAAAAAUGUUAAACUGUUAUACAACUCUAUAAACCACAUAGCAUUAUGUAUGAUAACGAUAAUGUAUAAAACGAUACUAUUAUCAAAUAUUAUAAAGCGCGUAGCUAUGGGAUGCGUUUGUUUUCGAGGGCAAAAUAGCUCUUUGUUUAAAACCUUUUGAAAAAUAACAGCUGACGUCAGUGGCAGCAAUUCGUUACGCGCAUGUAUAUGGUAUCAGUGGUGAAAAAUCCUUGCUGAAACCGGUUUGAACAAGUUUACAGUGUUGGGACUACUUUCCCCUCCCCCAUAUGCGUUGUCAUAAAUGGUUGCAAAAUAAAAUAGAAAUCCGUAAACUAAUGGGGAACAUUGCAAAUGAGCGAAUACAAAAAAUUACAGCUUUGUAUAGUUUGGUAAAUUCUCGAUGUACUCGGUUUUGUAAUCACUUGAUGAGUCAGUUGGGUGUGACAGUGGGUUCUGAUUUUAGCCAUUCCACCAUGACAUAUUUCCACUGUUAGGCUAAUGUAACCUUCAUUGAACGAUACUUAUGUAAUGUUUACAAAGACAAAAGAAUAUAGGCUACGUUAUAAUAUGAAGAUUUGGUUAGGUUGGCAUUUUGUUACGCAUCGUCUGUUCUGGUCUACGUGACUAUUUCAGUUUCGAAUGUUCGACUUCUAAACCAAUAGGUGGCGGUAAAUGCCAUUAAAGGGACAAAAACUGAGACAUUCGGAAGACACAUAGACAGGAAAGAGGGGGACGACAGGCCCUAGAAAGAAAUGGUUGUAGAGAGCGGGGAUAGAGUAAUAAUCUAUUUUAUGGGUGGCCUGAGUUUAUGGCCUGGCUUUCAGUGAUGAUGCUAUUGAAUGACUACUGAAAAAUCAGAAUUCA
ensembl:lncRNA